UUCUGCCUGGAAUUGAACAUGACCUCGGAA
rnacentral:piRNA from 1 species